CACAAGGAAAAAGGAAUUUUGACUGCAAAGUUUGUUACAGAUUGCUUCACACUCAGCGGUCAAGUAAGUUUUGGAAUAGAGCCUUUGUACCUUUUUCAAUUUAUUCUAAUCCUUCUCCUUCGUGGAGAAAGAGGCCUAUGCCCAGCUGUGGGAUGAUACAGGCUGAAUGAAAAAAUCAACACAUUUUAUAGGUUCAUAAUUUUACUGAAACCUUAGAUGGUUAUAUAUUACUAAAGUUUCACGCAAACAGACCGGCUUGAGCGUAAUUAAAAAGUGUUAUUGUAUGAUGAAUGUUGUUUAAAUAUAUAAAUUCUUUUAAAGUUCAGAGGUGACCAAAUCAUUCAAUGAGACCAACUGAUGGACAUAUUUAAUAGAAAGUAGCG
rnacentral:misc_RNA from 1 species